CACCUGUUUAUCAAAAACAUGGUUUUAUGAUAAUAAUAUAAAAUUGUUUUCUGCUCUAUGAUAUAAUUAAAUGGCUGCAGUAUAUUAACUGUACUAAGGUAGCAUAAUCAGUUGUUUUUUAAAAGGAAACUAGUAUGAAGGAAUUGAUGAAAUUUAUACUGUCUUUCAAAUUUAUAAGUUUAAUUUAUUAGUUAAGUAAAAAUUCUUAAGUGAUAAUAUGGGACGAGAAGACCCUAUAGAAUUUAAUAUAAAAUAAUAUUUAAAUUUUAAGAUUUAAUAAAUAUUAUAAGUUAUAUUUAAUUGGGAGGAUUAUUAAAUUUAAAUAACUUUAAUUUUAAAAUUAUUAAAAUAUUAAUGAAUAGUUAAAAGAAUGGUUAAAAAAUUUAAAGAGAAUUAAUUACCUUAGGGAUAACAGCGUAAUAUUUUUGGAUAGAUCUUAUUGAUAAAAAUGAUUGCGACCUCGAUGUUGAAUUAAAAUAAAAAUUAAAUGUAGAUGUUUAAUAUUUAAGUCUGU
rnacentral:rRNA from 1 species